GCCGCCGACCGCCCCGGGCGGUCCGUGCCGAGUUGUGUGUCGCCUCGAAGCCACUCGGGCGUGUCGAGCCCGCCCUGCCAGGCCAUUCGCUCCGCCUUGCCUCCCCAGCGGCACUCGGGCCUCCACUAGCUUCGCUGGCGUUAGCACAUUCUGUUUUGACCACACCCGGAAGACUUGGGAAGUGUUCCUCAUCCUUAGAGCUGUCUCUGCAAAAAGGAAUGUGAUGCCGGCGGUGGGGCAGCCACAGCUCAGUCUUGAAGCAACAGACAGGAGAACAAAGGCCUAUAUUAGAAGGAUGGCAGAACAGAACAAUUGAAAGAGGCUGAAUCCUUUAUGGCAUAAGUGUGCCACCAUCCACCUGAAUUAACAACCUAAAAAUGCUUUUGAUGCUGUUGAACUUGCCCACAAUAAAAACAAACUCAGUGUGCCCAUGUACAAUUAUGUAUGCCACAUUUGUGUACAACAUCACCGUUCUCAAAACCCAAACCCACAGAUCUGAGGCCAGCAAUUCUAGUUAACCCUCACACAGGACUUCCCACAUGCUAGGCACUGUGGGAAGCUCUUUAAGUGUAUCAACUCAUUUAAUCCUUCAACAACCUUACAAGGUAAAACUAAUCUACGUUGGAAAAAAAAAUCAGAACAGUAUUUGCCUCUGAAGUUGUGAGGAUGAAAGAAGAAACAUGAGGGAAUUUGCUGGACUGAUGGGAAUAUUCUGUAUCUUGAUCAGGAUUUGUGUUACACAAAUGUAUCCACUUGUCAAAAAUCAUUGAAUCGUAUACUUGAGGAGACCCUCCAACACUAGCAGAAUCACCCAGUCCGGAGGAUGCAGGGAAGAUGCUGAAUGAGACAGUGGUAGUGAACAACCCCAUACAGCUGGAGUGUAAGGCAACUGGAAAUCCCUUGCCUGCUGUUACAUGAUACAAAGAUAAUCGUCCACUAUUAUGUUCCAGUAGC